rnacentral:rRNA from 1 species
GACGAACGUUGGCGGCGUGCUUAAUACAUGCAAGUCAACUGAAGCAGUGGUAGCAAUAUCGCUGUGGAGGUGGCGCACGGGUGAGUAACACGUAGGUAAUCUGCCUUCAGGUCUGGCAUAACUCCGGGAAACCGGGGCUAAUAGCAGAUGAUGCAGCGGCUCGACAUCGAGACAGUUGUUAAAGCUAUGGCGCCUGAAGAUGAGCCUGCGUCUGAUUAGCUAGUUGGCGGGGUAACGGCCCACCAAGGCAACGAUCAGUAGCUGGUCUGAGAGGAUGAUGAGCCACACUGGAACUGAGACACGGUCCAGACUCCUACGGGAGGCAGCAGUAAGGAAUAUUGCUCAAUGGGAGAAAUCCUGAAGCAGCAACGCCGCGUGAGGGACGAAGGGCUUUUGCUUGUAAACCUCUGUAGUGAGAGAAAAAAAUCCCAAUCUUUGGGACAUGAUGGUAUCUCAAAAGUAAGCCCCGGCUAACUACGUG